CAACUGCAUAAGAUCUGUUGCAUCACACCAUAAUAUCGCUUUUCUUGGGGGAAGGCUUAAGAAGCGAGGCAUUGUGUUUACACAGUCCAAGAUGUCGACCAUGAAGUUCAGUAGGAAACAAACUUUACUCAUAGUAGCGUCUGUGUUUUUCCUCUGUGUGGCUGCAGACCUACAUGCACCUGAAGUGCACACUAAGCUGGGGAGUCUGAGAAGUCAGUAUGUCAGUGUUAAGGGGAAGGAGACUGGGGUCCAUGCCUACCUGGGGGUCCCCUUUGCCAAGCCCCCUGUAGGUCCUGCUCUGAGACUGGCUGCACCUCAACCUGUAGAGGGAUGGGAAGGAGUGAAAGAUGCCACCCAGCAGCCGCCCAUCACUGGAGAUCAACACAUGCCUGGAAACGUUGGUUUGCUGGACCAGGUACAAGCUCUGAGGUGGAUCCAGCAGCACAUUCACAGCUUUGGUGGAGAUCCAGGUUUAGUCACCGUAGGUGGACAGGCUGCAGGUGGGAUCAGUGCAUCCUUGCUGCUUCUCUCACUGUUGUCUCAUGGGUUGUUCCAUCGUGCCAUUGCUGAGAGUGGAAGUGCUGCCAUGCACACAGUUGUCUCAAAUAACCCUUUACCGAUGAUGCAGAUUGUGGCAAAUGCAUCUGGUUGUAGCCAUGAAAGCACAGAGAGGAUCGCUGAUUGUAUUAGAAACCUGGAUAUUAACACUAUUGUGACCAUUGGGAAGGAGCUGUUCCGUGAACAUGAACAUCUCACCGUUCCAUUCAUGACCGGUGUGAAUGAUGAUGAAGGAGGAUGGUUGAUUUCAUGUCUGAGUGUCUAUGGGAUUUUUCACUAACAUUUGCGUUGCUGGGGAACCAUUGCAUGUGUUUGAAAUGGUCAUUGUAUUAAAUCUUCCUUUAGGUUUUUGCUCCUCAAAACUGGACAAAAGGACUGGAUCGAGAGCAGAUCACAAAGACACUGUCUGUCUGAUACUCUCAACUCUAGCUCCCAAACCCAAGGUCGGGGAGUUGUGUCUCUGUCUGUUGAGACUUGGUGCUCCUUUCUCACAGAUAGUUGGACGUCAGCAAUGCAGGUGUGAGAAUGUAAAUAUCUUCACACACACUGCGACAGGGAGUAGAUGGUGCAUGUAAUUUGAUUGGGUUAGAAAGACAGUCCACCCUAGUUGGACAGAGAAGCUAAAAGGCAGAAGGAACUUGAGGAUGGGCUCUUUGCAUCACACCUUUAUGGUGUGUGCAUUGAUCUCCCCAGCUGGUUUUUGGUUUGUUGAUGUGCACAAUCAACAUCCAUGCUUUUUAUUUGCUUUCCCCAUUAUUUUUAUUUUCUUUAUUAUUUCAAUAAAUCGCACAAAAGGACAACUCUCUCAUCUGCUUCUUUAUGGAAUUUAUGGAAAAUUUCCACCACAAACAGAUAUUGUAUAGUUUGGUUCUUUAUACUCAAGCUUCUUUGACAGAUGUCUUAUAUAUUUUCCUUAAGCCCCAACAUGCAGUUGUCAGAGAUUUCAUAAUAGAUGAAUAUAU